GACGAACGCUGGCGGCGUGCCUAAUACAUGCAAGUAGAACGCAGUUGCGAACGGGUGUGUAACGCGUAGGUAACCUGCCUCAUAGCGGGGGAUAACUAUUGGAAACGAUAGCCAAUACCGCAUACUGUGGGUUGGAUCUGCGUUGUAUUCGCUAGUUGGUGAGGUAAAGGCGCUCCCAUGCGAGGAUACAGAGCCGACCUGAGAGGGUGAUCGGGCACACUUGGAAUGAGGCACGGCCCAGAGGCCUAAGGGAGGCAGCAGUAGGGGAUAUUCGGGAAAGGACGGAAGUCUGACCGAGAACCGCCGCGGGAGUGAAGACGGUUUUCGGAUCGUAAAGCUCUGUUGUUAGGGAAGCGGUAACUAACCAGAAAGGGACGGCUAACUACGUGCCAGCAGCCGCGGUAAUUC
rnacentral:rRNA from 1 species